AGUUCAGGGCACAGAAGCCCAGGGCCCCCUGAGGUCCCAGGCUUAGGGAACAGAAGCUCUUGCUGAGAAGGAAAAUAACUACCCUGGACGUUUUUAUGGAUCAAGUCUUUUACAUAAUUCUUUCAUUUCCACAGUAACUGUGGAGAGAAAUUUCCAUGAUAAUUGCCAAGUAUCCUGUUGCACUGCAAUACUCUCAACUAAGGAAGGAAGAGGAUCAUAAGUUCAAGGCCAACCUAAGCCUUGUGUGAAAUCAAGGAAGCAGCCAAGUUGAAAAGAUCCAUUCAUCAAGAAGCUGCAGGUGACCAGUAAAGGACAGCCAGUAAGUAGCCACCACCAUCCAGCACACAGCCACUGUCUUCCUCUAUACCACAAGAACUUGUCAUGAUGUCUCAGCCAGAGGAGUAAACUGAAGCCUUGCAGAAGCCACAGGUAUGAGCAGACCAUCAAGCUCAGAUGCCCCUCCCUGCCACCCUUCACCCUUUCCCUCCUCUCACCCAACCCUACAGCUGUCCUGCCAAGAGAAAGAAGUCCUGGGAAAGUCAUGCAAAUCUCUGUCGGUCUCUCACACUCUCAAACUAGGAAGUAAAUGGAGAAACGCUGCUCUCAUCUGGCUGUUCCGAACCAAUUCUCAUUAUAGUGAUUUACAUGAACAGGGGUGUAAAUUUGCAUACCAUCAAGUGUUUAAGAUUAACUUGUGCACAUUUGAUUUGAUUUGAUUUGAUUUUGGCCUUAAAUUCUUCAUGGAUGCUGAGCCUCCGUGGUUUUUUUCCUUCCAAGUAACUGAGCUUUACACCAAAAAUUAAAACUGCCACAGCCAAUGACUUUCUUCAAAUGUGCGUAUUCGCUUUGGGAAAGGACAGCCGGGCGCAGUUGGAAGGCUUUUCGGCACUGAAAUGGCCCUGGUCCAGUGAUCAAUACUCACACAGAAGUGUCCUUAAAUAGGAAAUAGAAUUUUAAUAGGAAUCUCUGCAGAGCUCCAGGCAAGAGUUUGCAUAAUACAACCUCCUGCCAGCAGUAUAGUGGUUUGAGGAGAGGGAGGGUCCUGUCAUACUUCCACAAGCAGAAAGAAUUUCAUAUGCACUUAAACCUACCUCUGGAAUUUGUUCACACCUGUCCACUGGACUUACAGUGCCAAAGCCGGGAUGGGUGUGGCCCAUCGACCAGUCUCUGUAAAAUCCUAUAACAGGACUUUACAUAAGGACCAAAAGUGACACCACAUACCUCUUGGCCCUGGAAAAUGACAGGGGAAAGCAGGUUUUAUGAGCUGCACUGACAUACUGUGUCUCAGUGUGAUUAAUCCAUCUCAGGAAAGUGACUUGAAGAGCCAAUUAAAGGCAGCUUAGAGGAGCUACUUUGCAUUGUCUCUUUAUUC